CACCGGCGGCUCGAGUGGUGACCACUUUUAUUGGGUCUAAAGCGUCCGUAGCCGGCUUGGCAAGUCCCCUGGGAAAUCUGGCGGCUUAACCGUCAGGCGUCCAGAGGAUACUGCCAGGCUUGGGACCGGGAGAGGUGAGAGGUACCUCAGGGGUAGGGGUGAAAUCUUGUGAUCCCUGAGGGACCACCAGUGGCGAAGGCGUCUCACUAGAACGGGUCCGACGGUCAGGGACGAAAGCUGGGGGCACGAACCGG
rnacentral:rRNA from 1 species